CCCCCCCCGGCCCCGCCGCCCAGCCCAGCCCGUCCUCCUCACCUUUGAAGAGCUCCACGUGCUUGAACUCGAAGGGGAUGUUGUUGCUCCGGGCGAAGAUGUAGAUGGAGCGGCAGGGCUGCGAGAGCAGGUCCAGGAUUUCUGCGCGAGCAGGUCAGGCUGAACUCGAGCCCCGCGCCGCCCCGCAACGUUUCACAGCGGUGUGAGCCGGGGACGGUGACGUGCGGUUACCUUGACUGUCUUCUCAAGUUUAGACAGAGCCUCCUCAUACUGCUGCACCAAUGGCUUUAGUAACUUGCCCUUGACCAAGUGCUGCUUCAUGUCUGAAAUGCCGGCAUCCUUCAACAUCUGCAGAAACCUGCGC